AUUGAACGCUGGCGGCAUGCUUUACACAUGCAAGUCGAACGGUAACAGGUUAAGCUGACGAGUGGCGAACGGGUGAGUAAUGCAUCGGAACGUGCCCGAUCGUGGGGGAUAACGCAGCGAAAGCUGCGCUAAUACCGCAUACGAUCUGAGGAUGAAAGCGGGGGACCGUAAGGCCUCGCGCGAUCGGAGCGGCCGAUGUCAGAUUAGGUAGUUGGUGGGGUAAAGGCCCACCAAGCCGACGAUCUGUAGCUGGUCUGAGAGGACGACCAGCCACAGUGGGACUGGGACGCGGCCCAGACUCCUACGGGAGGCAGCAGUGGGGAAUUUUGGACAAUGGGCGAAAGCCCGAUCCAGCAAUGCCGCGUGCAGGAAGAAGGCCGUCGGGUUGUAAACUGCUUUUGUACGGAGCGAAAAGGUCCUUUCUAAUACAAGGGGCUCAUGACGGUACCGUAAGAAUAAGCACCGGCUAACUACGUGCCAGCCGCCGCAGUAA
rnacentral:rRNA from 1 species